GUAGGGAAUAUUGCGCAAUGGACGAAAGUCUGACGCAGCGACGCCGCGUGAGUGAUGAAGGCCUUAGGGUCGUAAAGCUCUGUUGAAUGGGAAGCAAAAAAUGACGGUACCAUUCGAGGAAGGACCGGCGAACUUCGUGCCAGCAGCCGCGGUAAUACGAGGGGUCCUCGCGUUGUUCGGAAUCAUUGGGCGUAAAGGGAGUGUAGGUGGCCGUGUAAGUCAGUAGUGAACGCCCAGGGCUCAACCCGGUAAGUGCACUUGAUACUUCGUGGCUUGAGUACCGAAGAGGGUAGUGUAAGUCCAGGUGUAGUAGUGAAAUACGUAGAUAUCUGGAGGAACACCGGUGGCGAAGGCGGCUACCUGGUCGAGUACUGACACUGAGACACGAAAGCAUAGGGAUCAAACAGGAUUAGAUACCCUAGUAGUCC
rnacentral:rRNA from 1 species